AGCUCUAUAGGCGAUGGCAUUCGCCCUCCACAACCGCCCCGUGUCCGGCUGAUGAUGCCUACUCCUCA
rnacentral:ncRNA from 2 species